UACGUAGGGGGCAAGCGUUGUCCGGAUUUAUUGGGCGUAAAGAGCGUGUAGGCGGCCAGACAGGUCCGUUGUGAAAACUGGAGGCUCAACCUCCAGACGUCGAUGGAAACCGUCUGGCUAGAGUCCGGAAGAGGAGAGUGGAAUUCCUGGUGUAGCGGUGAAAUGCGCAGAUAUCAGGAAGAACACCCGUGGCGAAAGCGGCUCUCUGGGACGGUACUGACGCUGAGACGCGAAAGCUAGGGGAGCAAACGGG
rnacentral:rRNA from 1 species